rnacentral:rRNA from 1 species
UACGUAGGUGGCAAGCGUUGUCCGGAUUUACUGGGCGUAAAGAGCGCGCAGGCGGUCGUAUAAGUCCGCUGUGAAAUCCCCGAGCUCAACUUGGGAAUUGCAGUGGAUACUGGCAAGCUGGAGUACGGUAGAGGAAGGUGGAAUUCCCGGUGUAGCAGUGAAAUGCGUAGAGAUCGGGAGGAACACCAGUGGCGAAGGCGGCCUUCUGGACCAGUACUGACGCUCAUGCACGAAAGCGUGGGGAGCAAACAGG